rnacentral:rRNA from 1 species
UACGGGGGGGGCAAGCGUUGUUCGGAAUUACUGGGCGUAAAGGGCUCGUAGGUGGUCAACUAAGUCGGACGUGAAAUCCCUCGGCUUAACCGGGGAACUGCGUCCGAUACUGGAUGACUUGAGUUCGGGAGAGGGAUGCGGAAUUCCAGGUGUAGCGGUGAAAUGCGUAGAUAUCUGGAGGAACACCGGUGGCGAAGGCGGCAUCCUGGACCGGUAUUGACGCUGAGGCGCGAAAGCUAGGGGAGCAAACGGG